rnacentral:sRNA from 1 species
GACAUCAGUUUCUAGGGUUCCGGCGCCGAAGGGCGUGCUGGUCCGAGAGAAACGCCCCGGCGGGGAGAAAUCCGCCGGGUCCACGGCGGGAUAAAAGCCCGGGAGGC